CUGUGAGAAAUUCUGAUUGACAAGAGGGCAGAUUCUAAGCUGGGAGCAGGGCAGAGGGGACAAUGUGACAGUCCCUGGCGAGAAAGACAUGUCCCCACGUGCGUGCUGCGAGGCCCCACUGGUGUCAGAUGGAUCACAAAGCUCCUCUUUGGUCAUUGCUGCAUCUAAUCGUGCUGCACAUGGACUGAAGCCUCUGAACCGUGAGCCGAAAUAAACCUCUCCUCUCUCAAGUUGUGGGUGGCAGAUUCUUUGCUCCGCCAAGAGGAAAAGUGACUGACAGUGCACCUCUGACUUCUGUGUCUAUCAGUUAGCAGAUACAAGUCUGUUUCUCUAAAUCGGUUACUGAGGGCUUCAGAAAUCCCAGGGAAGGCACCAGUCACUCGGUUCGUUUCAGCAGUAUUUAUUUGUGACGUCCUGCUCAGUGCAGCAGUCAUCUUUUCUGCCAUCCACAUGAUCUUUAUGUGCCAUGGCCACCUGGCAGGCUCCGUUCAGGACCUAGUGAGCCUUAUAGGUGGGAUGAUUUCCAGGUUUAUGAAUGACUUUUCCAUUAUUAUGGAAUUAAUCCUUUUGAUUUGGGGUUCUGG
ensembl:lncRNA